rnacentral:rRNA from 1 species
CCUACGUGUGACAGCAGUGAGGAAUAUUGGUCAAUGGGCGCGAGCCUGAACCAGCCAAGUCGCGUGAGGGAAGACGGUCCUAUGGAUUGUACACCUCUUUUGUCGGGGAGCAAAAGACGCCACGCGUGGCGUUCCGAGAGUACCCGAAGAAAACGCAUCGGCUAACUCCGGGCCAGCAGCCGCGGUACUACGGAGGAUGCGAGCGUUAUCCGGAUUUAUUGGGUUUAAAGGGUGCGCAGGCGGAAGAUCAAGUCAGCGGUAAAAUUGAGAGGCUCAACCUCUUCGAGCCGUUGAACCUGGUUUUCUUGAGUGAGCGAGAAGGAUGCGGAAUGCGUGGUGUAGCGGUGAAAUGCAUAGAUAUCACGCAGAACUCCGAUUGCGAAGGCAGCAUACCGGCGCUCAACUGACGCUCAUGCACGAAAGUGUGGGUAUCGAACAGGAUUAGAUACCCCUGUAGUC